UCUUAUGGACAAAGCAAAGAAAGUGGUUUAUUGAGAUGUAAUCUACUCUUGGUGAAGAUGCUGGAAA
rnacentral:pre_miRNA from 1 species